rnacentral:rRNA from 1 species
AGAGUUUGAUCAUGGCUCAGAGCGAACGCUGGCGGCGUGCUUAACACAUGCAAGUCGAACGUGAAAUGUAGCAAUACAGAGUAAAGUGGCGUACGGGUGAGUAACACGUGGGUAAUCUACCUUAGAAUCUGGAAUACCGGCCGAAAGGCUGGCUAAUACUGGAUAGUUCAAGUGCAUCGUAGAGGUGCGAUUGGGAAAGGGAGCUCGCAAGAGCCUUCGUUUUAAGAUGAGCCCGCGUCUGAUUAGCUAGUUGGUGAGGUAAUGGCUCACCAAGGCUGAGAUCAGUAGCUGGUCUGAGAGGAUGAUCAGCCACACUGGAACUGAAACACGGUCCAGACUCCUACGGGAGGCAGCAGUGGGGAAUCUUGCGCAAUGGACGAAAGUCUGACGCAGCCACGCCGCGUGAGUGAAGAAGGCCUUCGGGUUGUAAAGCUCUGUCGGAGGGGACAAAAACGUUUAGGGUUAAUAGCCCUAGAUCUUGAUGGUACCCUCAAAGGAAGCACCGGCUAACUUCGUGCCAGCAGCCGCGGUAAUACGAAGGGUGCAAGCGUUGCUCGGAAUUAUUGGGCGUAAAGGGUAGGUAGGUGGUUACGUAUGUCUGGGGUGAAAUCCCUGAGCUCAACUCAGGAAGUGCCUUGGAAACGGCGUAACUAGAGUACUGGAGAGGUUCGUAGAAUUCCUGGUGUAGCGGUGAAAUGCGUAGAGAUCAGGAGGAAUACCAGAGGCGAAGGCGGCGAACUGGACAGUUACUGACACUAAACUACGAAAGCGUGGGGAGCAAACAGGAUUAGAUACCCUAGUAGUCC